AGUGAACGCUGGCGGUAGGCCUAACACAUACAAGUCGAACGGCAGCACAGAGGAGCUUGCUCCUUGGGUGGCGAGUGGCGGACGGGUGAGGAAUACAUCGGAAUCUACUCUGUCGUGGGGGAUAACGUAGGGAAACUUACGCUAAUACCGCAUACGACCUACGGGUGAAAGCAGGGGACCUUCGGGCCUUGCGCGAUUGAAUGAGCCGAUGUCGGAUUAGCUAGUUGGCGGGGUAAAGGCCCACCAAGGCGACGAUCCGUAGCUGGUCUGAGAGGAUGAUCAGCCACACUGGAACUGAGACACGGUCCAGACUCCUACGGGAGGCAGCAGUGGGGAAUAUUGGAAAAUGGGCGCAAGCCUGAUCCAGCCAUACCGCGUGGGUGAAGAAGGCCUUCGGGUUGUAAAGCCCUUUUGUUGGGAAAGAAAUCCAGCUGGCUAAUACCCGGUUGGGAUGACGGUACCCAAAGAAUAAGCACCGGCUAACUUCGUGCCAGCCGCCGCGGUAA
rnacentral:rRNA from 1 species